AUUGAUUAAUAAUUUGUUAAAUAAAAAACAAAGUUUCCCGGUCUUCUUAGUUUAGCUGCUCGUCUCUCCCUAUAUCUAAUUUUGGCCGUCUUCUUUGCCUAAUCCAGCUGUUCCUGACAAGGAGAAUGCUGGUGCUACUUGGAUAAAACAAUUGAAUGUUCACUCGAGGAAAUCGAUCCCGAAAUUGUAGACAUCAUCGAACUCGAGAAAGCAAGGCAAUGAAAGGUACAUUGACAUGGCUGAGACCUUAUGUCAGAAGCGUGCAUUAGAAGCUUUUCAAUUGGAUUAUGAAAACUGGGGAGGAAAAUGAGCCAUCUUAUGAAUAUGCUAAAGUUUUAUUUAUUUAUUUUCACUGGAACCACAAAAUUUAUUAGCAUAGAUGAGGAUUUUGAGAGUAAGGGGUGUCUAUUAUGCUGGGAGAUUUAUCUUACUUGUUCUUCAUAGGGAAAGGGCUAGUACUUGUUGAAAUUACUUCUCAUUGAAGUUGUUUUACCAGGCUAAGAGAUCUGUACCCUUUUGUUGUGAGUGUGCAUUUAUAUAAAUGUUUAAUUUUUUUUUUCU